rnacentral:lncRNA from 1 species
AGGGACAGGGUGCAUGGGGAUGGGUGCACAGGGACAGGGUGCAUGGGGAUGGGUGCACAGGGACAGGGUGCAUGGGGAUGGGUGCACAGGGAUGGAUUGCAUGCAGACGGACACACAGUCAGGGUGCAUAGGGAUGGAUUGCAUGCAGACGGACACACAGUCAGGGUGCAUAGGGAUGGAUUGCAUGGGGACGGACACACAGUCAGGGUGCAUAGGGACGGAGUGCAUGGGGAUAGAAACACAAGGUCAGGGUGCAGAGGGACAAGGUGCAUGGGGAUGGGUGCACAGGGACACAGUGCAUGAGGACGGACACACACGGUCAGGGUGCAUGGGGAUGGGUGCACAGGGACACAGUGCAUGAGGACGGACACACACGGUCAGGGUGCACAGGGAUGGAUUGCAUGGGGAGAGACACACACGGUCAGGGUGCACAGGGACAGGGUGCAUGGGGAUGGGUGCACAGGGAUGCAGUGCAUGGGGACGGACACAGGCGGUCAGGGUGCACAGGGACAGGGUGCAUGGGGAACGGACACACAUGGUCAGGGUGCAGAGGGACGGGGUGCACGGGGGACGGACACACAUGGUCGGGGUGCAUGGGGA